rnacentral:rRNA from 1 species
AGUGAACGCUGGCGGCGUGCCUAAUACAUGCAAGUCGAACGGAGUGGCGCACGGGUGAGUAAUAUAUAGCUAAUCUGCCCCUUGCUGGAGGACAACAGUUAGAAAUGACUGCUAAUACUCCAUAGAAAGGGAUGUGACUAUAUCGGAUCAGCUAGUCGGUGGGGGAACGGCCUACAGCGGCUAUGACGCGUAACUGUGCUGAGAGGAUGAGCAGGCACAUUAGAACUGAGGCACGGUGCAAGCUCCUACGGGAGGCAGCAGUAGGGAAUAUUGCGCAAUGGGAGAGACCCUGACGCAGCAACGCCGCGUGGAGGAUGACACUUUUCGGAGCGUAAACUCCUGUUGUUAGGGAAGCGGUACCUAACGAAUAAGCACCGGCUAACUCCGUGCCAGCAGCCGCGGUAAUAC